AUGAGGAGCCAUGAGUUUUCACGAGCCUCACCUCCGAGUUGGGGUCGAAGCCUUCGCUUUCGCCUUGACCUUCUUCAGGGUCACCAUUGCCGCCGGCAUCAGCAUCUCCGGCGACCACCUCUCCCGCAUCGUCCAUUUCCACAUCCUCCACCGCCCCCUCCUCCUGCUCCCCCUCUUCUCCCCCCUCGUCUCCUUGCUGCUGCUGCUCGUCUUGCCCCUCGCCCUCCCCCUGUGGCUGCUGCACACCCUGUCCCUCUUCCUCCACCUGAUGAUGCUGCUGCUGCAUCUGCACAGCAUGGCCCUCCUCCUCCUGCCGCUCGGCCUGAUGCUGCUGCUGCUGCUGACCCCCGUCCACCUCCUGCGCCUCCCCCACGGCCACGGGCCCCGCGGCGCCGUCGCCCGGGCGGGGGUUGGGGGAGUUGGGCCGGGGGGCCCCCGCGAGGCGGGAGACGGCGAGGGACCGGCGGUGGAGGAGGCGGCGGAACUGGGACGCGGAGAGCGUGGGCGGGGGCACCGGCCAGCGGCGCGCGGCGUCGUCCCCGCCCCGGUGGAGGUUGCCGCGGUACAUCGAUAUCGCCACCAUCUCUGCCUGGACUGCCCGUGCGGAGUGGUGCGCCGGGUGGGGGCUUCGGGUGCGAGCGCCGGCGGCGGCCCCGGGUUUCGGUAAGCCGCCGUUGGGCCUUCACGGCGGAUCUAUCUUUCGCGUUCUCCUUGUGGAAUUCGUCGCUGGUGCUGACCAAACUCCGGGCCUCCGGAUUAGUUGCUGGGCCCUUCGGAGUAGUCAGCUAUGAGUUUUUUUUUUCUUUUUGUUUUUUUGGGAGAACAGCUUUGAGUUACUACUUCAGGAGCCUCCCACUUGGGGGUGGGCUGGAAGAGCGUCACUUGGUUUUUAGUUUUUCGCACGCGUCUUUCAGCUUUUUAGAUGUUUUGUGA
rnacentral:rRNA from 1 species